UCCGCCGAGGGGCGGGGCCAGAGGACGGACCGAGGCCUCCAGGGAAGCGGGACCAGGUGAGGGGAAAGUCGGACCAGCAAGUGGGGCGGCGGCGGGGGUACCCGUGACCACCAGCGAAGGUGCGCUACCCAGCGCUCGGUCCCGCACAGGCUAGGAGGACUAGCAUGAAGACCCGCAGCUGCAGGGGCCAGAACAGAAAGCGCUUGUUAAAAGAUAUAUCUGUUUUGCUUUGUACGGCACAGGGAUACACAUUCAGGAUUGUCAUGUCUUCUGGAAACCCCAGGGCAGCUUACUAGGAAGUGCAGCUCCUACACAACACUGUGUCUAAAUGACAGCACACUCAGCAAGCCUGAGAAUCUCGGUUAAAAUCUACAGGAAGCACCAGGAAUGGCUAUGCAAAUCUUUUGUGGAGAGCCGGGCGU